rnacentral:lncRNA from 1 species
CUUGUCUUCUCCCAAAGAUGUAGCUUAAAGCUACUGCCAAAAACAGCCCAAAACCUCCAAAAAUUAGUAAACGUAGCUCCUCCAUCACCACUGGAACGAGAAGCAACAGUCCAAAUUUGAAAACAAAACCCAACAGACCCCUGUAGAGAAAGCAGCUGCAGACCUUAAGAAUUAAAAACAAAGAACAAAAUAACACCUAAAAGAUCGAGCAAGAGAUAAAGAAGUGCCGAUUUUGUUUUAAAAUAGACCCUUCCCAGCGUCCUGUGCUUCCUCCCAUUGCUUUCCAAAUAUUUGGUUCUCGAAUGGAGUUCAAUCACAGUGAGUUUGCUGCUCGAGUCACCAAGGUCUAGUUUUCCGAUGUGUUCUUUGGUUGACAGAUUUGUUCGGGGCUUCUGAUUCAAGACCUAUUUCCAUUCGUGUAAACUUUUCUGGAAUUCUAAUUGAAUUCUCUUGGAGUUCUCUGUAAAAAAACUAGCUCGAAGAAAUUAUCGUGCUUAUCGAUCUUCUGAAUGGAAUUCAAUUGACGUGCCGAGGCUCUAUUCAAGUUUCCGCCGAGGUUUGAUUUGGGAUCGUUAAUCUCUGUUUUUUAAGGUCUGAGUUUCGACCCCUUCAUUUACAUGCUCUGUUUCUGUUUAUUUACAAUGCUAUGUUUGUGAAAUCAUCGCUAUCGUUAAUCGUGUUAUCCUUGAGAGAUUAAUUGUCAGUUGCUACUUUUGAAUAUUAACUACUAACUGACCUGCGUCAACCAACAAAAGGCCCCAAAUUCAAGUUGGAUUAUCCGUGUGUUUUCUGGUAACUACGGAAGUGUUACUCCUACUAUGUGUUUGUUGGCAUCAUAUCCAUUUUCGCUUCUACAAAAUACAAACGUGUUUGCUGGCAUCAUAUCUAUUUUUGCUUCUAAAAAAAUAGACAACUUCGAGGUUGUUUUCGAUGAAUUCUGGGUCAGUUUCAAUACACAAUCUUUGUAGGCAUUAAUUAAGAUUAACCUCUAUCUUAUAAUUGUUGUUGCUAUUGCUUUCCCCGGUUUCAAUUGAUAUCAGUGUCUUGUAGUUGACAAUGGAAGCUUCCUUACUCAUUUUUCAGAAGUAUUUCCCUUCAAUUUCAUAACAUGGUUUGGAUAGCAUGAAUUUUGAGUUGCAUCGUGAAUUUGUUCAUUUUUAUGGAUUUAGAAGUUGGC